AGUCGAGCGGCAGCGACAACAUUGACCCUUCGGGGGAUUUGUUGGGCGGCGAGCGGCGGACGGGUGAGUAAUGCCUGGGAACAUGCCUUAGUGUGGGGGAUAACCAUUGGAAACGAUGGCUAAUACCGCAUAAUCUCUACGGAGCAAAGAGGGGGACCUUCGGGCCUCUCGCGCUAAGAUUGGCCCAGGUGGGAUUAGCUAGUAGGUGGGGUAACGGCUCACCUAGGCGACGAUCCCUAGCUGGUCUGAGAGGAUGAUCAGCCACACUGGAACUGAGACACGGUCCAGACUCCUACGGGAGGCAGCAGUGGGGAAUAUUGCACAAUGGGGGAAACCCUGAUGCAGCCAUGCCGCGUGUGUGAAGAAGGCCUUCGGGUUGUAAAGCACUUUCAGCAGUGAGGAAGGCGGUAUCGUUAAUAGCGGUAUUGUUUGACGUUAGCUGCAGAAGAAGCACCGGCUAACUCCGUGCCAGCAGCCGCGGUAAUACGGAGGGUGCGAGCGUUAAUCGGAAUUACUGGGCGUAAAGCGCAUGCAGGCGGCUUGUUAAGCCAGAUGUGAAAGCCCGGGGCUCAACCUCGGAAUCGCAUUUGGAACUGGCAGGCUAGAGUCUUGUAGAGGGGGGUAGAAUUUCAGGUGUAGCGGUGAAAUGCGUAGAGAUCUGAAGGAAUACCGGUGGCGAAGGCGGCCCCCUGGACAAAGACUGACGCUCAGAUGCGAAAGCGUGGGGAGCAAACAGGAUUAGAUACCCUGGUAGUCCACGCCGUAAACGAUGUCUACUUGGAGGUUGGUGUCUUGAACACUGGCUUUCGGAGCUAACGCGUUAAGUAGACCGCCUGGGGAGUACGGUCGCAAGAUUAAAACUCAAAUGAAUUGACGGGGGCCCGCACAAGCGGUGGAGCAUGUGGUUUAAUUCGAUGCAACGCGAAGAACCUUACCUACUCUUGACAUCCAGAAUGCAGAGAUGCGGUGCCUUCGGGAACUUGAGACAGGUGCUGCAUGGCUGUCGUCAGCUCGUGUUGUGAAAUGUUGGGUUAAGUCCCGCAACGAGCGCAACCCUUAUCCUUGUUUGCCAGCACUUCGGGUGGGAACUCCAGGGAGACUGCCGGUGAUAAACCGGAGGAAGGUGGGGACGACGUCAAGUCAUCAUGGCCCUUACGAGUAGGGCUACACACGUGCUACAAUGGCAUAUACAGAGGGCAGCAAGACCGCGAGGUGGAGCGAAUCCCACAAAGUAUGUCGUAGUCCGGAUUGGAGUCUGCAACUCGACUCCAUGAAGUCGGAAUCGCUAGUAAUCGUGGAUCAGAAUGCCACGGUGAAUACGUUCCCGGGCCUUGUACACACCGCCCGUCACACCAUGGGAGUGGGCUGCACCAGAAGUAGAUAGCUUAACCUUCGGGAGGGCG
rnacentral:rRNA from 1 species